ACGUAUGACAAGUAUUACAAAAUACAGAGUAUAUUCAAUGCAUUCUAAAAGCGUAUUUAUUUAUUUUUCUAUAACUAUGUACAUUGUUGGAAUCUCCCAAAGCACCUCAGCGCCAUCUGUUGACAACCACAGCUCAAACAGAGACAUAGGGACAAUACAGGGCCAAGUUCAUUCAUCAUGUUGAGUUUUUACAAAAGUUAUUUACAAAUGAUUCCCGUUUCAUCUGGAUCUCUGUAACUACUCGUAUUUGGACAAUACGAAUGCUUGUUAUGUGAGUGACCCAGCAGCAGUGCUAUGAGAGCUAGCAGCAUGCCGCUCCUUUAAUGACCUAUGAGAGCUGUGGACCCAGGCCAUACACGGGGAACCUGAGAACCUGCUGAGCAACUUCUGUUGAUCUAAGCCAGCAGGUGAGAUGCAUCAAUUCACAGGAGUCCGUCAUAGACCUCCACAGCCUGAGAAAUUUAACCUCUUGAUGAAAACCGCAAUGUCCUGACCUAAAACCAGAGAUGUGAACAACAGCAAAUAAAACACAGGAUAUACUCGAUGUAAGUGGCGUACUGCUCCUUGAGAGGCUCUCAUGGGUGUCCCGAGCAGCCCUGGCACCCUGUGUUCCUCUCCUUAGACCCGGGCCUGUGCCAUCUGCCUCUGUCACUGCCACCGUUGGGCACUGGGAGUCAGUGUGCAUGAGGCAGUCCUCUUCUUCUGCAAGAAAUCAACACACGCUGUGGCUGCUGCAGCUUUCAGCCGGCAAACAUAUUCCCGGAAAGAGCAAGAAGAAAUUACAACAAUGAGAAGGCAUGUGGUUGAAUGUCCCACCUCUAGAGUGACCACUUCCUGUUCCGCUUCAUCUCGGACAGCAGCAUGGAGGUAUUUAGUCGUCCGAGACGAGGGCUGUCUGUUUUCCUGCGGUUGCUUCACCCGAUUCCCCUCCACUGCACACCAGAUGUAACCAAAGCAGAGGACAAAACAAGUGCAUUAUUUUUUCAGAGGCAUGUCUAGUAUGAGACAGUGAUGCACGCUGACAGGGCCUGCUAAUUGGAGUAAAUUAAUUUACCUCGGGCGCCAUGUUCUCACAAAGUGCCGCGCUCCAUGUGAAUAAGUGAUGAUCGGCAGGGCUCGUAUAAGCCCCGAGUUUUUAAAUCAUUUAGCAGCGCAUUCUGCUAAUUAGCACAGAGAAAGUCGGCUUUCAGCUACAAUUAAGACGGGCCUCUGUCAGUCAGGGGACCGCAGCCGGGAAGAAGCACUGAUUUAUUCAUCCUGCAAGCAGAUGCUGAGUGCAUUGGGGGUUUGGAUGGAGGGACUUGGAGAUGAAGCAAGCAAGGGGAUCUGAGAGAUGAAGGCAGUGAGGGAGAGGACUGCAGUAUGUGUGUGGGUUGCUAUUAGUGUGCUGGUGCAGAAAUUUUGUUUUAAUUUUUUUUUUCUCUGCAAGAAAAGGCACAAACAAAGCAAUGAGAUGAGCUGGUGGAGUACAGUAAGUGAGGUUGUGUGUAUAACUUGUGAUUGGUCACCUAUGGGCUUUACUUCCCAUGCUUAGUUGACAAGACUCUUUCCAGGACUGUUGCAAGGUCAUUCCUGUUACGUUUGAGGUUGCGGUUAUAAUUUAAAGGGACAGUUCACCCAAAAAUGAAAAUUCUGUCAUUUACUUACCCUCAUGUCAUUCCAAACCUGUAAGACAUUCGUUCAACUUCUGAACGCAAAUGAAGACAUUUUUAAUGAAAUAUGAGAGAUUUCUGUCCCUCCACUGACAGACUAUCACUUUUUGAUGCUUCAGAAAUUUCUUAAAAAGAUUGUAAAACUAAUCCAUAUGAAUUUAGUGGUUUAGUCCAAAUUUUCUGAUUACUUUAUAUGAUGAACAAAUUUAAUUUAGGCUUUUAUUCACAUAUAAACAUUAAUCAGUGCACACAGUUGUGGCAAAUAGAAGUUCAAGCAUGCUUGCUUGAAGUGUGAGAACCAAUGAGGUACAUUCUUGUGUGUUAGGCAGCACAUUUGGGCUUCCCUAAGAAUCAUUAUCAUUUGGUUGAGCUUCUGUUUGUGUUUGCUGAUCAAUGUAAAUAAAAGCUUAAAUUAAAUCUUAUGAAUCAUAUGAAGCAAUCAAGUCUCUUGAGAAGCAUUUCAGCUGUCAACAAAGCUUUAAUUGCUCCCCGAAAUUUUCUGCUAAAAUAAAAAGUUUAACAUUUGAAAAUGAACAAAUUAAA